rnacentral:rRNA from 1 species
GAUGAACGCUGGCGGCGUGCCUAAUACAUGCAGGUCGAGCGAACGGACGAGACGCUUGCUUCUCUGAUGUUAGCGGCGGACGGGUGAGUAACACGUGGAUAACCUACCUAUAAUACUGGGAUAACUUCGGGAAACCGGAGCUAAUCCCGGAUGAUAUUUUGAACCACAUGGUUGAAAAGUGAAAGUCGGUCUUGCUGUCACUUAUAGAUGGAUACGCGCUGCAUUAGCUGGUUGGUAAGGUAACGGCCUAUCAAGGCAAGGAUGCCUAGCCGACCGAACAGGGGGAUCGCCGACCUUGGAGGUGAGACAGGGACCAGACUCCUGAGGGAGGCAGCAGUAGGGAAUCGGACGCAAUGGGCGAAAGCCUGACGGAGCAGCGGCGCGUGAGUGAUGGAGGUCUUGGGAUCGGAAAAAUCUGUUAUUAGUGAAGAACAGAUGUGGAAGGAACUGUGGACAGCGUGACGGUACCUAAUAAGAAAGCCACGGCUAACUACGUG